ensembl:lncRNA novel transcript, antisense to WFDC1
CAUCCUGUUGCACCAGAGAAGAGCAUGGAGGAGUCAAUAAAAUCUGAGAAGAGUCUCUCACCCCUCCUCAAUGCCUCCCCUCUGGCCAGAUGAGAUUGCUGGGGUUCAGAGACGUCAAGCAGCUUGCCUGAGAGAAGCCACGCAGCUAAUGAGCAGCAGAGCCCGAUUCACACCCAGACAUCUGGCCCCAGGGCAUGUGUUUCUUGCCACUCACUGCCUCAUGCCUUCUCUUUGUACUGCCAUCGUUUGUCACCCAACUGCCUCUGCACCUCGGCCACGCCACCCUUGAGGAUGGGGGCUGGUACCUCCUUUAUCUUGUAUCCACAGGACCCCACAGAGUGCCUUCCCCAGAGCGGUUUCUGCUAAAUUCUGUUUAACAGAGUGUAUUCAUUCUGUUUGCUGAAUGAAUAAACAAC